GACGAACGCUGGCGGCGUGCUUAACACAUGCAAGUCGAACGGAAAGGCCCUGCUUUUGUGGGGUGCUCGAGUGGCGAACGGGUGAGUAACACGUGAGUAACCUGCCCUUGACUUUGGGAUAACUUCAGGAAACUGGGGCUAAUACCGGAUAGGAGCUCCUGCUGCAUGGUGGGGAUUGGAAAGUUUCGGCGGUUGGGGAUGGACUCGCGGCUUAUCAGCUUGUUGGUGGGGUAGUGGCUUACCAAGGCUUUGACGGGUAGCCGGCCUGGGAGGGGGACCGGGCACCAGAGGACUGCGAGACGGCGCAGACUGGUAUGGGAGGCAGUAGUGGGGAAUAUUGCACAAUGGGCCGGAGCGUGAUGCAGCAACCCCGGGUGCGGGAUGAUCGCCUUCGGGGUGAAAACCGCUUUGGACGUUGACGAAGCGUGAGUGACGGUAACGGGUAAAGAAGCAACGGCUAACUACGUG
rnacentral:rRNA from 1 species